GAUGCAGGUAGUGGCUUUUCUCUCCCAGAGCAUAAAAUGACAUCAGAAGACUGAAAUUAUGUACUGGAGAAGCCUUUGCUUCUACAUACUGGAAUGGGAUGGUUAUGCAUACUGGAUGAAUCUAUCUCCCUGACAGCCAUGACUGAGUAAAUCACAAGCCACUUAAAACUAUUACAUAUGUGCUUAGUUCUUAGAGUAGCGAGGACUGAAGAGUUCUAAAGUCAAAGUCGUGGCCCUGUGUGCUGGUUCUGGGAGCAGCGUUCUGCAGAGUAUAGAAGCUGACCUUUACCUCCAGCUGGGUAAAGGUCAUCCCAGGUGGGAUGUCUCAUCAUAAUAUUCUGAAUGCUGCUUCCUAAGGAGUAAAUGUCAUCCUUUAUGAACUCAGCAACACUGAAUAAGACUUUCUUUCUGACAUUUGAGAUAUACUGGGUGCUUACUUGAAGAGUAAGAUUAAUAUUAUCCUUCAGAGACAAGCAAGGACCUUCUUUAUGUA
rnacentral:lncRNA from 1 species